UACGGAGGGUGCGAGCGUUGUCCGGAAUCACUGGGCGUAAAGGGCGCGUAGGCGGCCUGAUAAGUUUGGGGUGAAAUCCUGCGGCUUAACCGCAGGGCUGCCUUCUAAACUGUCAGGCUAGAGCACAGUAGAGGCAGGUGGAAUUCCCGGUGGAGCGGUGGAAUGCGCAGAUAUCAGGAGGAACACCGGUGGCGAAGGCGCUGCUCUGGGCCGGUACUGACGCUGAGGAGCGAAAGCGUGGGUAGCAAACAGG
rnacentral:rRNA from 1 species